rnacentral:tRNA from 1 species
GCGAGAGUGGUGGAAUGGUAGACACGCUAGAUUUAGGAUCUAGUGCCCUUUGUGGCGUGCGGGUUCAAAUCCCGCCUCUCGCA